rnacentral:lncRNA from 1 species
GGGAUGUUCACAGCCCAGCUAGGAAGCUGAGACCACUCUAGAACUCAUCUUAUCUUUCCUGUUUGCAAGAGGAAAGGAUUGAGUACUCUUAAUCCCAAGAUGCUCUCUUCACUGUAUAAAAUGAGAUCAAUGUGUACUUGACAUUAAGCUCAUGAAAACUGCUUAGCAUACCACCUAGUAAAUGGGUGCACUGUGUUAGGUAAAAUCAAAGUCCACGCCGUGACCUUGAAGGCCCAAUUUGAUCACCUCUGACUACUCCUCAGGACCUCAGCUCACACCCCUGCUCCUGACCCACUAUGCUCCUUUCAUACUUGACCUUCUUUCUCUUCCUAGAACAUAUCAAGCUCUUCCCCACCUCAGGGCCUUUGCAUUUGCUAUUCUCUCUGCCUGGAAUACUUUUCCCUGAGAUUUUUCAGAAAAAAAAAAAAGGCUCUUUCCUGACAUCCAGCUAUCAGCUCAAAUACAUCUUUUUUAAAGAGAGCUAUCUCCAAGCUAACAGAUACAUAGAGAAUUCAAUACCCAGCCAGGAAGUCCUUUCUCUUAGAGUGCACAUGGAACAUUUAUACAAAUAGACUUGCAUGUAUUUCCUCAGUACAUGCCAACAUAUAUUAUGAUACAGAACAGGUUAUCCAACCACAGAAACUAGAAAUUCAUUUAAAAAUAGAUUUUAAAAUGUUGGGAAAUUUACUAGAUACAUUAGAUAUUGCUAAAUGACUCUUGGAAAUAUCUAGAACUGAACAAUGAAAAUGUUACAUGUCAAAACUGGUGGGAGGUGGGUAAAUAGCACCUCAAAGGGAGUGUACAGGGGCUAGAGUUGUGGUUCAGUGGUAGAGCACUCGUAUCACACAUGUGAAGCAUUGGGUUCAAUCCUCAAUGCCACAUAUAAAUAAAUAAAAUAAAGGUAUUGCGUCCAUCUGCUAAACUUAAAAAAAAAUUUUUA